rnacentral:misc_RNA from 1 species
UUGGUAUUCCGAAAGGCAUGCCUGUUUGAGUGUCUUAUAAACCUCUCUAUACUAUUUAUUUAGUAUAGAGCUUUGGGUGCUGCCAGCGAUGGCUCGCCUUAAAUGUCUAAGUGGAAUGCAUAAUAAGUUCUUGCAAUCCUCCACUCUAACACACUUUAUAUUCUGACCUCAAAUCAGGUAGGACUACCCGCUGAACUUAA